UGGGGAAUCUUGCACAAUGGGGGAAACCCUGAUGCAGCGACGCCGCGUGAGCGAUGAAGCCCUUCGGGGUGUAAAGCUCUUUCGACGGGAACGAUAAUGACGGUACCCGGAGAAGAAGCUGCGGCUAACUACGUGCCAGCAGCCGCGGUAAUACGUAGGCAGCAAGCGUUGUUCGGAGUUACUGGGCGUAAAGAGUGCGUAGGCGGUGCCCUAAGUCUGUUGUGAAAUCUCCCGGCUUAACUGGGAGGGUGCGGUGGAAACUGGGGUGCUUGAGAGUGGGAGAGGUAAGCGGAAUUCCUGGUGUAGCGGUGAAAUGCGUAGAUAUCAGGAGGAACACCGGUGGUGUAGACGGCUUACUGGACCACGACUGACGCUGAGGCACGAAAGCGUGGGUAGCAAACAGGAUUAGAUACCCUGGUAGUCCACGCCCUAAACGAUGCAUACUUGGUGUGAGCCAUUCAUUUGGUUCGUGCCGGAGCUAACGCGUUAAGUAUGCCGCCUGGGGAGUACGGUCGCAAGGCUGG
rnacentral:rRNA from 1 species